rnacentral:rRNA from 1 species
GCCUAACACAUGCAAGUCGAACGGUAACAGGGAUUGCUUGCAAUCCGCUGACGAGUGGCGCACGGGUGAGUAACGCGUAUGCAAUCUGCCUUUAACUGAGAGAUAGCCCAUAGAAAUUUGGAUUAAUACCUCAUAAUAUUGUGAUUUGGCAUCACUUCACAAUUAAAGCUUCGGCGGUUAAAGAUGAGCAUGCGUCCUAUUAGCUUGUUGGUAAGGUAACGGCUUACCAAGGCAACGAUAGGUAGGGGGCCUGAAAGGGUGAUCCCCCACACUGGUACUGAGACACGGACCAGACUCCUACGGGAGGCAGCAGUGAGGAAUAUUGCGCAAUGGAGGAAACUCUGACGCAGCCAUGCCGCGUGCAGGAAGACGGCCCUACGGGUUGUAAACUGCUUUUAUAUAGGAAGAAACACCGAUACGUGUAUCGGCUUGACGGUACUAUAUGAAUAAGGACCGGCUAACUCCGUGCCAGCAGCCGCGGUAAUACGGAGGGUCCAAGCGUUAUCCGGAUUUAUUAGGUUUAAAGGGUCCGCAGGCGGGAUUUUAAGUCAGUGGUGAAAGCCUACAGCUCAACUGUAGAACUGCCAUUGAUACUGAAAUUCUUGAGUGUGGUUGAAGUGGGCGGAACAUGUCAUGUAGCGGUGAAAUGCAUAGAUAUGACAUAGAACACCAAUUGCGAAGGCAGCUCACUAAGCCAUUACUGACGCUGAGGGAC